rnacentral:lncRNA from 1 species
UGGUUGUUUUAUGAUAUCCGAAUACAGAGGUUUAGAUGGUCGUUCCUCUGUUUGCCUGUGAUCCAAUUCGCGUUGUAAAUCUGACAUGUGCGAGAACCCUCCCGCACGAUCGUCGAAGGUUCGGCCCCGCGUCCGUUCCCUGUCGCCAUCCUCCUUUUGUCGGGUAUUUACCUUAAUUUCAAUAGAGAUUUCAGUCUCCUUUAACCACUUCAUAAAAUACUCCAAAACACAGCCAAACUGUUCCAUAUCCAAAAAUCUUUUCAUUGUGUACACCAAAAUACAGGAGAAACAUUAACAAAAUUCCAGAGAACUACUCGUCAACUACCAUCGCCGUACAACAACAUUGUGUCGUCGCCGCUUUGCGGCCAAACUUUUAUACUGAAGAUAAUUUGCAUAAAAACGUACAAUAUGAUUAUCAUUAAUUACAAAACAAGUUAUUUCCAAAAUAUAACAAAUACAAACAUUAGAACAAAAAUUAUUAUUAUGUAUUUUUUUUCUUCUUUUUCUUUUCCUAAAAAAUAAAAGAAACAUAAAAAACAAUAAUCAAAUGAACACCUUGUCAAGUCCACCUUCCCCCACGUCCAUUACGGCAAACCGGCCACCACAGGUAACUUUCUUCUUUAUAUUUUUCAGCUCCUCACAAAUCUUCCACUUUCUCGUCCACCUUGAUGAAUUCGUCGAGUAUCUCUUCAAAAAUGCUUGACAUUAUAG